AUUAGUGUAUGAUAUUUUUAUUAUAUAUUAUUAGAGUUUAUAUUGUUUAUAUUGUGUAUUAGUGUUGUUGCUGAAAUAAAGCAAGAUUAAGAAGAACCCCGAAAUCUUGUGUGUGCAGAUGUCCGGCAGCUGAAUCCUUCUAUAAAUUCCCAUCGGAACGAGAAUUAUCAAGGCAUGAAUUUAUUUUGGAAUAUGUGUUAGGCUGCCUUUCCACCAAUACAAACUACCCAAGUGAAGUUGUUUUGUUUUUUUCUGGAUGGCCUACGGAAUACAAUUUCAGUUAAGAACAUUUUUUAAGUAUAAUGAAAACUAUAUUAGUUUUAAUUAGGUUAAAGAACAAAUGGCUUAAAAAAUUUUUGUUACGAAAGUGUUUUAUUAUAA